AGCUUCAACGUUUAAACACACACACGCCUUUGUCGCUGUAAAACUCUACGAAAUGAAAUUCAUCAUUGUAUUCGUUGCUCUCUUCGCCAUUGCUUUGGCCAACAAAGAUGCUGAAACUUUGCGUUACGAUAGCAAUGUUGAACCUGAAAACUACAACUAUGCUGUAGAAACCAGCGAUGGAAAGAGUGCCCAAGAAGAGGGUCAUCUUGAAAAUGCUGGCACCGAUGAUGAAGCCAUUUCCGUACGUGGUUCUUACUCUUACAUUGGAGAUGAUGGUCAAACUUAUCAAGUCAACUAUAUUGCCGAUAGAAACGGUUUCCAACCCCAAGGUGCUCAUCUUCCUGUUGCUUAAUUUCAGAUUUUUAUCAUUGAUCUAACGUCUAUCGCUCAGAACAAAAAUCCAAUCAAAAUGAAAUUCAUCUUUGUCUUCGUUGCCCUUUUCGCCAUUGCUUUGGCUGAAGAAACCGUUGUCUUGAAAUCCGAAUCUGAAGUUGGUCCCGAAUCCUUCCAAUAUGCUUAUGCUACCAGCGAUGGUGUUGAAGCUCAAGCUCAAGGUCAAUUGAAGAAUGUUGGUACUGAACAAGAAGCUCUUGGUGUUAAGGGCUCUUACUCCUUCGUUGCUGAUGAUGGUCAAACCUACACCGUCAACUAUGUUGCUGAUGAAAACGGUUUCCAACCCCAAGGUGCUCAUUUGCCCGUUGCCCCUGAAGCUUAAGUUGUGAUUGUUAUUUAUUAAUAAAUUUUUGUUUAUUUGAAAGAAAAAAA